UAGUGAGUUUGAUCCUGGCUCAGAACGAACGCUGGCGGCAUGCCUAACACAUGCAAGUCGAACGAGACCUUCGGGUCUAGUGGCGCACGGGUGCGUAACGCGUGGGAAUCUGCCUUUAGGUUCGGGAUAACUCAGGGAAACUUGAGCUAAUACCGGAUGAUGUCUUCGGACCAAAGAUUUAUCGCCUAAAGAUGAGCCCGCGUCGGAUUAGCUAGUUGGUGGGGUAAACGGCCUACCAAGGCGACGAUCCGUAGCUGGUCUGAGAGGAUGAUCAGCCACGACUGGGACUGA
rnacentral:rRNA from 1 species